UCGGGUGUCGCCAAGCGGUAAGGCAUCGGACUCUGACUCCGACAUGCGUUAGUUCGAAUCUAACCACCCGAGCCA
rnacentral:tRNA from 1 species